rnacentral:rRNA from 1 species
UACAGAGGGUGCAAGCGUUAAUCGGAAUUACUGGGCGUAAAGCGUGCGUAGACGGUUAUGUAAGUCGGGUGUGAAAGCCCCGGGCUCAACCUGGGAAUUGCAUUCGAGACUGCAUAGCUAGGGUGCGGAAGAGGGAAGCGGAAUUUCCGGUGUAGCGGUGAAAUGCGUAGAUAUCGGAAGGAACACCAGUGGCGAAAGCGGCUUCCUGGUCCAGCGCCGACGUUCAGGCACGAAAGCGUGGGGAGCAAACAGG